GACAGAGGUCCCAAGCGUUGUUCGGAUUCACUGGGCGUAAAGGGUGCGCAGGUGGGUUUGCAAGUUCGAUGUGAAAGCCCCGGGCUUAACCCGGGAAUGGCAUUGGAUACUGCAGAUCUGGAGGAUCGGAGGGGGGGACUGGAAUUCCGCGUGUAGCAGUGAAAUGCGUAGAUAUGCGGAGGAACACCGAUGGCGAAGGCAAUCCCCUGGGCCUGCACUGACGCUCAUGCACGAAAGCGUGGGGAGCAAACAGG
rnacentral:rRNA from 1 species